rnacentral:pre_miRNA from 1 species
GCAGGAUCUCGCUUGACAUUCAGUGCUGUCGGUGGGUGUUGCGCGUGCCUGCCUCGAACACAUAACCCAGGGAGCACUGAAUGCACACCGUGAUCCGAG